rnacentral:lncRNA from 1 species
ACCCUGGCCUAUCUUUAGUUUUUUUGUUUUUCUUUUUUUUCAAAUAUAACUAAAGUAAUACAUUGUGUUUGAACAUGUCAUCAUUAGAUAUUCGCUACAAAAUAAACGUUCCUCAAUUUUGAAAUUGAAUACUAGCAUUAGAAAAGCUCCCUUGUACUUCUCUUACCCACCACUGUAUAGAUAAGGUAUUCAAUUUAGUAUGAUAAUCAAAAUAUGGUAAAAAGUCCCUGAUCAGUGCCAGAUGCUUAGACAAGUAAGGCUUGCAUACACAUUAUUAUGCACACCUACUGCUCAACAUUCAAUGCUGUUACAUGUCGGAAAAUCUACUAUGCCUGACUAGCAGAAGAUCUAUGUUAUCCAUCAACACGACGGUGCCAUAUGUGGAGCAGGAUCUGCUUACCCUUCAAGAGCACUUGAGAUCACACCCAGAUUUUGGUGGGGUUCGUGUUGCUUAGUUUUUAGUUUUCUAUGUUGUGUUUUGUGUAAUAUUGUUUGUCUGUUCGUCUAAUUAUUUUUUAGCCAUGGCGUUGUCAGUUUAUUUUCUAUCUAUGAGUUUGACUGUCCCUCUGGUAUCUUUCGUCCCUCUUUUAUCCACUCUCUUUCAAAUAUAUAUCUCUCUACAUUCAUAUAACUUUAAAAUCUUCAAACGAAGCAAAAACUCCUCUAAAA